rnacentral:rRNA from 1 species
AAAUGACUCUCGGCAACGGAUAUCUCGGCUCUCGCAUCGAUGAAGAACGUAGCGAAAUGCGAUACUUGGUGUGAAUUGCAGAAUCCCGUGAACCAUCGAGUCUUUGAACGCAAGUUGCGCCCCAAGCCUUUAGGCCGAGGGCACGUCUGCCUGGGUGUCACG